GACGAACGCUGGCGGCGUGCCUAAUACAUGCAAGUCGAGCGAAUGAAUGGGAGCUUGCUCCUGUUCGUUAGCGGCGGACGGGUGAGUAACACGUGGGCAACCUGCCUGUAAGACUGGGAUAACUUCGGGAAACCGGAGCUAAUACCGGAUAGUUUCUUUCUCCACAUGAAGAAGGAUGGAAAGACGGUUUCGGCUGUCGCUUACAGAUGGGCCCGCGGCGCAUUAGCUAGUUGGUGAGGUAACGGCUCACCAAGGCAACGAUGCGUAGUCGACCUGAGGGGGUGAUCGGCCACACUGGGACUGAGACACGGCCCAGACUCCUACGUGAGGCAGCAGUAGGGAAUCGUCCGCAAUGGACGAAGGUCUGACGGAGCAACGCCGAGUGAGUGAAGAAGGUUUUCGGAUCGUAAAACUCUGUUGUCAGGGAAGAACAAGUACCAGAGUAACUGCUGGUACCUUGACGGUACCCGACCAGAAAGCCACGGCUAACUACGUGCCAGCCGCCGCAGUAAGAC
rnacentral:rRNA from 1 species